rnacentral:lncRNA from 1 species
CUUCAUGCAAUCUUAAUAUGAUGUUACACGCUUUAUUUGAAUUAGUCUGACUUGAUGGGAUAUACUGGAAAGUUUUAAUACGUUAAUCUAUUUGUUCCUUAAAUGAUUUUACCACAUUUUUCCUUGUUCGGGUAGUGUAAUACUUGUCAACAGGUGGUUUAUGUGGCAGUUAGGAUGUAGUGUUGAUAACUUAAGAAGCUAAAAUUGGUAUUAAUGGUUUGUUAUUGAAGCAGAGGAGAAAUUAUAUUGGUUAAUAAAUGUGUUUUACUCACUUUUUGGAAGUUUAUUUUGUUUGUCUCCUUUAGUCGAUGAAACGGUGGAAGAUGGAGACCAGAAACUUUAGAGGAUUGGAGUUAUUGAUGGUAUUCAAAAUUGAAAUCCACUUGCUCUCCUUUGGAGUUAUAAGGUUUUUGAAUGCAAAUCUAGCUUUAAAGUAUGAGGGAGAGAGUUAGUGUUUUAAAAGGCUAUCGAGGCUCACCGAAAGGGAAGGCUUUGCAAAUUUGCCUUGUGGCUAUAACCUCAAUUAGGGUAAUUGAGGCUUAAGUCUCACUUGUCGACACUUAAAGCUUCCAGGCUAUAGUCUCAAAUAUCCAAAGGAUUUUCGGCCUUUGUGAGCUUUUGAUAUAUGUUUUAUAAGACUUAAGCGUCAAAUUUCGAUUAGUGUUAAUGGAUUCUAUUAUCAUCUAUGCUUUGUGGGUUUUUGAUAUAAAUUUCAUGAGUUUUGUAUUGUGUCCCAACUUGGUUAAACCUUUUAUGAAAUAAGGGUUUAGUUGACUUCCAAUUAACUGUUUGAAUGAAAGGGAAAGAGAGAUUGAGUCAUGAGAAGAAGGAAUUGGGGGAAUCAUUAUAUUAAUAAUGAUGAAUAAGAAAAAAUACCAUUGCAGAUGGUGGAUGAAGGGGUAAAAUGGGUGGACAUUAACAUUGAUAGGGAGGAUAAUAUAGCAAUUGGAUAUCAUUAUAUUCCUUGGAGUGUCCUAGUAGUGAUAGUGACUUGCCAUUGAAAAUUAUUUGAUAAAAGAGCGCUAAAAUUUAGAAUAGAGAAAAAGGAACUUUAUAAGAGACUAUUAACAAUGUCAAAUAAUUCAUUUUAUCAUUAUGAGGUUCAUGCCUUUUUUUAUUAUUCAAUUUUCUUGUGACUUUAUGAGUAUUUUUCUGAUUUUUGAUAUAUUUUUUUAAUUAUUUAUUUGUUUAAAUUGAGGCUUGCACCUUGCCUCAUUUGGACAAAACGCUUUAAGUCUGCCUUUAGCCUUUUAAAACAUCUCUACUAGUUAAUAUGUCAGAACCUAUUUUAUAGAGAAUAUGGUUGUAAAGGAAAAACCAGAUGUAAUAAAAGAAUCAGUCGUGGUAGCAACUCUCCUUGUUAUACUUACUGAGAUUAAUCUUCCAAGUUAUGCAAUUCUUAGUGUAAACAUUUAGAUAAAUAAUCGACAUGAAUGUUUCUUAUAAAUUAUAAUAUUGGAGUAUAUGUUAUCUACUGUGUGUCCUCUAGCUUCUGAGGACCUGCCAUGUUGAGGUACCCUUGUAGAGUUCAAGUCUCAUGUUUGUGUUUGUUAUUCUGCAUAGUGCUUGCUGCAUGUCACCCUAAUGGUCAACCACUUACUCCAAUAUGAUAUAAGAAAGCAUUAAUCAUAUCCUAUUCAUUGAUGGGCUAUCCUUAGGAAAGAGCUAUUUUAGUCCAUUUGAGGUGUGUUGCUUAGAAUGGUGAUCCUGUCUGAGGCUUAUAUAUAUAAUCCCUCCAAUGGAGAAGAUCAUUUGUGGGAAUGAUUUUAUUUUAUUUUCUUGGUACUUGGAGUUGGGGGCUGGUAAAUGUUGCAAGAGUCAUGGGAGUGGUGUUAUCAGGAAUUCAAAUUUUGAUUUGGAAAUGAUUGUGUUGGGGAGUAGGAUUUACAAAUGAGACACCAUCAAUCAGAUUUGAGAGUAAUAUGUGUAUAUGUGUUUAAUACAUGUAUAUAUGUUUGGUUCUUUAUUUAUUUAUUUUUGAAAAUUCAUGGAAUGUGGUGAAUAAAGGGAUAUUUAAGGGUUUUGGUCUGGACUCUUCAAGGAGUUACUUAGGUUGGUGGUGUGAUUUCAUGUGAAUGGUCUCACUUUCCUUAAAAGUGCAGGGGUCUUAAUGAAGAUACCUUUUUUUCCCUCACGCUCCAUGAAACACAGUGCUGGAUUCUUCUUGAUUUAUUGUUAUCUAUGUACUCUGCUUGGUUCGAUGUUAUGUAUGUACUGUGCACUACAUCUAAUGAUAAUUCAGUGGAGAGGGUGCUCCAUUCUUAUGAUUUGAUGAAUCUAGAGCUGUAUAUUGUGUCCCUUUAACUCCUCUUUUGCUCUUCCUUCUAUAAUGAGUCAUCUUAUUGCAACUAAUUGCUUAAAUUGGUCAUUAAACCUCAAAAUAAUAUUCUGAUUUCCUUUUCUUUCAAGCUCCUCGCUAUUAUGAAAUGAAAAUUAGUUAAAUACUAAUACUAAUGCUAAGCUCAAUUAUGGUAUAGACAAGUGGACCAGCGGACUCAUCUUCACAUGGCAAUCUUGUACAUGUUUGUGCCUCGAUUAACCAGAUUAUCUAGGUGAAACAAAUAAGCAUUCUCCUAUUCAUAGACCAGUUAAGAACUCUUUUUUGUUAUGUUAGAUUUGUUAGUCAUCUUUGGAUGGCUGAAAUACAAUUUGUGUUUUCUUGUACAUGCUUAGUUUCAUUGUUUCUUGAGAUGAUUAAGUAUUAAAUAGUUGUUGAUCCAGCUAUUGUUUGAACAUUUAAUUAAUGAAGGUUAGGACUGCUAAUUGAACCAAUAUACCUUUUACCUUUUACUCAUUGGUAUCUUUGAAGAAUCAAGAUUUUUGUUUCUCUUUGUUUGCAGGUUCCAUGUUGUGGCCUAUUUGCAGCAAAUCUGGUGGUUUGAAGUAGAUGGGGUAGUCAAGUUCCAUUUUCCAGCUGAUGUCUAUACUCUAUCUUUCAGGCUUCAGCUAGGAAGAUUUUCCAAAAGGCUGGGGCGACGUGUGCCCAAUUUCGAACACACUCAUGGUUGGGAUAUAAAGCCAGUACGAUUCCAGUUGUCUACUUCAGAUGGUCAGCAAGCAUCAUUUGAGUGCUGUUUAGAUGAGACUGAACGUGAAGAUGCAAAUGGAAACCACAAGCGUGGGUGCUGGAUAGAUUAUAAGGUAGGAGAAUUCAUUGUCACUGACUCAGAACCUGCCACUGAAGUAAGGUUUUCCAUGAAACAGAUUGAUUGUACACAUUCCAAAGGUGGGAUUUGUGUAGAUUCUGUAUUUAUUAUCCCCAGUGAUUUGAGAGGGCGAAAAAGAAGAGGAGUUUUGAAGAAGCCAUGAACUCAAUGGGCAUGUUGUUCAUGUAUUGUCAGUGAUCCCAGGAGAUCCUAUUGGGGUUUAUCAUAAAAGCUUUUACUUCUGAAGGCUUUUCAUGUUUUUAGAGGAUAUCUUGGUAAUUGGUUUUGGGGAGUAGGUACGUGUCCUAUAUGGGUCUGUAAUUUUCCCUUAUAUGUAUUUUUUUUUUUAAGUUCGUUUUCAUUUUACACCUAUGCAGAAAAGAUUUAAGAGAGUAUGUUUUGGUUUCAUAAUGGUGCUUUUUCAGGUGCUUUCUCCUAGGCAUUUUGUAAAUUGGCUGAGGUGCAAAUAAGGUAGAAGUCAUCCUUAUUUGUGGUUUCAGUUGUAUCAUUUUUGUGAACUCCGGGUUGCCAAGGAUGCCGGAGGUUCUUUGUUCUAGGUGAAGUGAAAUGAGGUGAUGGACCAUAGGGUGUUUUAGCUACUUCUUAACCCAGGUGCUGUGUUUGAGAUUUGUUAUUGGCUAUGAGGGGUUUGUGCUCACUCUCUUUUGGUUGCCUCCCAUCUUUUGCCCUGUUGAAUAAUUCAGUCAUGAGCAAACCUGCUGUGUGCUUGUAGAACUCUGUGCGGAAACAAUAAUUAAAGAAGCCUGUGUCAUUGGAUUCAUUACAUUAGGAACUAUUGUAGGUUUAUUGCUGGAGCAAGAUUUGCCAACAGUGCCCCUUCAUUGAGCUUGUCUCUCUAUAACUGCUACACACAUCGCUAGUCUACCCAUGGACUGACUUUGUUUUCGUCUGUGGACCAUUUGCAUUCAAAGGGAUGUGUGGGAUAUGGGGAUUUCGAGAGAUACAAAUUAGUAAGAAGAAGAAUAUAAUGUAAGAUCUGUCUUUUGUGGUGGUGUCAAUCUAAGCUAUAUAUAUAUACAUAUAUAUAUAUAUAUAUAUAUAUAUUUUGAGGGUUAUUCAUUUGGUUCUCAUCACGUGGAUUUUUAUCCUCGCAAGGUGAAUAUGGUUAAUAGGUGUUUGUGCAGAUUCACGUGUUGGCACUACCUCAAUUGAACACAUGUUCACGUGGUACUUGUUUGUGUUCCUGCUUAUGAGGUGCUCUGUCUUGAUAGUGGAUGAACACAGCCUUUUACUCAUGUGGUAUUUGGGCCAGCGAAUGCGGACGGAUCAUCCCUCUAAUCACGCAUGGACGGUUCCACAGGGAAUGGAGUUUUUAUUUAUUUGUUAUUUAUAUUUUGCCUUGAGAGGCACUAGCACUGGGGUUUAUGUGGUUCAAAUUUGUUAUUUCCUUCUUCUCAUUGUGCUGUUUUUCUAAUUUCUUCAAGAUGGUUUUGCUGGCUCUCCGCAUGUGCCCCUGCUCUAUAAAUGUGUGGUUAGUAACCGAAUCCAAACUGUGCUCUGGAUGCUCAUGCUCAAGCUGUAAUUAACUAAUAGGAGGUUUCGCUAGAGGGCAUCCUCUCAAACCUCAACCCCCUGCUUUGAGAAUUAUAUCUUACAAUGUGACCCCAGUUGACUUUUAGUGAUUGGAAGUGGCUAAUUAUUUGUAAUUCUGUAUCUUAAACCGUUACAGGUUUCUCAGCACUGGAUCCCUCAUCUCCCUCCACUGCACUUUAUUUCUGGGAGAUAAAACACCUUGUGAAUAUGACUCAAUUCACUGCUACCAUCAAUCAUCGCAAAUUUUCUACCUCAGUGUACAACUCUCUUUACGAGCAAAGCUGGGUUUACAUGUACGGAUCUCUGGCUGCUUUACAGGUAAGUGGGAUCUCAGUUCACUUGACAUUGUCUCGCUUUUCUAGCGCCCAAUAUGACUCUCUAGGCACACCUUCCCUAGCUUCUAUCCGUGACCACGUAUCACGCAACCGUAAUGCAUCAGGGUCGCACUCACCUGUCAAUAUAUUAUUAUAUUGAGAAGGAUAAGUCAAUGUUCUAAUACGUACGUACAUUUGAAAAAAUGGACUCUGAUAAAUGGUACAAAAUUGUUAAUUAGUAUUUGUUGGGAGAUUCAACAAAUAGGAAAAUUAUAAAUAAAACUGAUGGUUAUUUAAAUGAGUUGUCUUAUUACAGAAUUUUAAAAUCAUUGUUUUCACCUUGUAUUUCCUCUCACUUUUCUACUUUAUUUUCUUUUCGGGCAACUUUAUAGAACUAAAGCGCACUUACGGAAAAGUAUUUAUGAGUGCGCGGGUGGAUGUGUGUGGGCGCGCAACCUUAUUUAACGGUUGGUGCCUGGUGGGUUGGUGAAUGAAUAUGUGAGUCCUGUGUGCUGGUGGUGCUAAUGGCUAGUUCUGAACAAACUUUUCGCUUGAGUUUUGGUUUUAGCUACUUACUAUAUCGUGCCAUAUUCCACUCUUUAGCCCAUCAACAACCCUUUACUAUUCAACUUUAUGGUCCCAACCAGCCCUGUUUCCUUCUUCAAAAAUAACUAAUAAGUGCAUGGCUUUCAAAAUAUGUAGAACAGGCGCCGUACGGCAGGAAUAGAAUGGUCCAAAACGUAGCUUGUGGGAAGUAAUAAAUGGUCCAAACAUAAUGAAUUUCCGUGAACUAUAAGUCUAUAAGGCGAUUCCCAUCUUUUCCCAUAGUCGGCACCACCCAAGAUGUAACGGGGACUGGCUCAUACCAUUUAUUCACGCUACAUUUAUUUCUUCUCAGUAUUUCCUCCAAACUUAAAAUUUCCAAUCAGGACCCCACUUCAUGAUUCAUGAUUAAACUGAAAAAAGAGUAUGCAAUUCAUUGAACAAAAAUAUUCAGGAUUAUGCCUAAAAAAUGUGUAUGCAAGUCACUUAAAUUAAGUGAGAUAGAUAGUGUGAGUGGUAUGUAGUUUUGAGGUACUGCUAAAGAAAUUUCAACUGAAAGGAGGCAGAGUUUAACUGAUAAAUGUGGGUAUGAUAUAGUGUAUGCAGAGGUUGAAAUUCGUUGAAGCUUUAAUUCUCCUAUCUUUUACAGCUUUCUCACCUCUGUUUGAGCAGUUGGUUAAAAAGUGACCCUUCCUAAUUGCUACAUCGUGUGGUACAGUACGGUCAGUACAGCCAACCGACACCCAUAUCAAACAUUAGAACUCCUAAUCUCCCUGUUUAUCAAACAGCUAAUCUCCCUGUUUAUAAACAGCAAUGGGUUCGUGAGGGAGUUUUAAGAAUCUCGCAAUAAAUGAUUAAAGUCCGGGCGUUUAGGUUGGAAUUGGAUUGGUUCUUCAGUCGAUGCUUUGUUUCUGAUGCCAGCCACCCAAACCCACAUCAAAUCCAAAUAAAAAAAGUCCUCUGUCGUGGCCAAACCUUACGUACACUUUAAAUUUGAAAUCUGUGUUAGCAGAGUGCAACCAAUAACGUGGCCAAUUACUGACCAGCUACUACUCAGGGUUCAUUGCUACACAUUCCUUUCUCUUUCUAUCAUAUUUCCAUCCAUCCUACGAAUUUUGUAGGCAUUAGGUUACUUGGAUAAUGAUGGUAGAAGCAACAUUAUUUCUUUGUAAAAAAAAAAAAAAAAAAGUUUUGAGAAGACAAAAGGUGGAUAAGUUAGAAGUUGAUUUCAUUCACCUUGUAAAAUGCGUUAAAAAUAAUUUGAGAAGUUCAUGUCAAAGCCUUUUCAGUCAUUUACUAAAUUUUUAUCCCGUACUUUUUCCCUCAGGUAAAAGUUUUAGCCCUAGAGAUUGAAAAUUCAAAGGCAACUAAGAGGAAGUCUGAAAGCGUAAAUAAUUUAAGCACAAAAUUCAGAAAUUAAACUAGUUUCUAUUUCCAAGAAUCAACUAGGAAGUGUAGUUAGCGUCAAUGCAGAAAUGAGCUGUUAAUUAAAUGCAAGAAAAGAGCAAAAUUGAUUAGGGGAGAGAGGUGAGGCAAGACUGAAAUACGGAAGCGCGCAGCUAAGAGCUCUGUCUCAUCUUUUUCAGUCUCAUUAGCGCCAUCAUCACUCCAUGGGGAGUCGACGGUCCUCUCUCCUUUCUCUCCCUUUCUCUCGGGGGCCUCCCAUAUGGCCUGUUACCGUUUUCCAUUCCCCCUUCCCUUUCUUUUUCCCUUUUUAUUUUUUUCUGUAAUUAAUUAAUUAAUUAAUUAUUUUUUGGGAAUGAUAACCCCUUAUAUAUAUCAUGGACACACUCUCUUAGACCUGACCAGCGUCAUUGAAUGCAAUUCAACUAUCCAUCUAGGGAGGGGAGAGAGGGAGAGAGGGAGAGAGAGAGGUGUUCAGCUUUCUUCUCUGCCAGUGCAAAGUUAUUGAGGAGGGGGGAAACAGUAGGAUGAGGGGCUUCUUCUUCUUUAAUUUGUCCAUUACUGGGUGCAGCAGAAGGAGGUGGCAGGUUGUGUGUACAUUGUAUGUCACCUUAAGAAGGC